UGCCAGCCGCCGCGGUAAUACGGAGGGUCCGAGCGUUAUCCGGAAUCAUUGGGUUUAAAGGGUCCGUAGGCGGGCAAUUAAGUCAGAGGUGAAAGUUUGCGGCUCAACCGUAAAAUUGCCUUUGAUACUGGUUGUCUUGAAUUAGUGUGAAGUGAUUAGAAUGAGUAGUGUAGCGGUGAAAUGCAUAGAUAUUACUCAGAAUACCAAUUGCGAAGGCAGAUCACUAACACUAUAUUGACGCUGAGGGACGAAAGCGUGGGGAGCGAACAGGAUUAGAUA
rnacentral:rRNA from 1 species